rnacentral:rRNA from 1 species
CCUACGGGAGGCAGCAGUGAGGAAUAUUGGUCAAUGGGCUUACGCCUGAACCAGCCAAGUCGCGUGAGUGAAGACUGCCCUAUGGGUUGUAAACCUCUUUUGUCAGGGAGCAACGCCGGCUACGUGUAGCCGGACUGAGAGUAACUGAAGAACAAGCAUCGGCUAACUCCGUGCCAGCAGCCGCGGUAAUCCGGAGGAUGCGAGCGUUAUCCGGAUUUAUUGGGGUUAAAGGGUGCGUAGGCGGAAUGCCAAGUCAGCGGUAAAAUCGCGGGGUUAAAACUCGCACCGCAGUUGAAACUGGCAGUCUAGAGUACAGUAGAGGUGGGCGGAAUUCGUGGUGUAGCGGUGAAAUGCUUAGAUAUCACGAAGAACUCCGAUGGCGAAGGCAGUUCACUGGACUGCAACUGACACUGAGGCUCGAAAGUGUGGGUAUCAAACAGGAUUAGAUACCCCAGUAGUC